rnacentral:rRNA from 1 species
UACGUAGGGUGCGAGCGUUAAUCGGAAUUACUGGGCGUAAAGCGUGCGCAGGCGGUUCUCCAAGUCCGUUGUGAAAGCCCCGGGCUCAACCUGGGAAUGGCAGUGGAAACUAGGGGACUUGAAUCUGGCAGAGGGGGGUGGAAUUCCCGGUGUAGCGGUGAAAUGCGCAGAUAUCGGGAAGAACACCCGUGGCGAAGGCGGUUCUCUGGGACGGUACUGACGCUGAGACGCGAAAGCGUGGGGAGCGAACAGG